rnacentral:tRNA from 1 species
GGCAAUCAAGCUCUCGGGGAGAGAGCGUCCCGUUGAAGCCGGGAAGGGCAGGGUUCGACUCCCGGAUUGCCG